rnacentral:lncRNA from 1 species
UUUAUGAAUAAGUCCUCAUCUUUUAGUGGUUCUGUGUCUCUGGGCUUGACCUUCACAAGUAUUUCUCCAUUGAUAGAGAUUAUCUCCUCCCAACGGCUUAGAUGAUACAGGAAGGCUACAGAAGAUUGGAAUUGGAUACUUAUCCCUCCCCAAGAAAGAUAAGACUCUGGGAAAAUCUUUUCCCUUGAGAGUAGGCCUUUGUUAAGGAAAACUCUCUGGGUACAUUUGACAACGACUAUUCUUGCCCUCCCUCUGCCAGAGCCAUAAGUUCACGAUUCUUGGAUCUUUUCUGUUAGAACCUGAUGGGGUUCCUGGAAGUAAAAUCCAUGAAACUGUGGGACUUCUUCUAAGACUGUGAUCCUCAGGAGUUUCUUACUCUCAUCAUAGUCCACAUUCAGCUUCCAACAAUUCAUCAAAAUUACCAUUGGCUGUGGCAGACCCCUGGGCUAACAGGCCAAGGGAAGAACCUCAAUGGCACCCACUGGGGUCUGAUCAGCAUGCCUGGGACCAGGUCAGAACAAUGGCCCCCACCAAUGUCUCAGUCUCCAGAGAGGUCCCUCAUCUCACCAAGAUGCCCCCAGAGCCCACCAGGUGAGUCUUGUUUCACCAAAGGACUGUCAGCCUUCUCUCUGGUGAUUUUAGGUUGCUGCAAUGAUUGAGUUUGUGAGUGGGCCCUUUAAGACCCUAGACUUUCUGGGGGUAUCCUUGCUGCAGUUAAUAGCUAGCGAAGCGAGACAGUAAGACCCUCGUUUCAGUUGGGCUGAGUCUGAAGUAUGGUUUUAGCAGUGUCGGCUCCCACUCUGGACCUCAAUCCUCCAGGAAGGGCUGCGUACCUUAGGGUGUCUCCUACCUGGCCAGCUGAGAAGCUCCACUGCUCCCAAAGGUGGCUUUUUUCCUCUCCAGCAGGAAUUUCUGCCUCUUAGGCCUUAGUCAGGACUGUCCCUUGUUGUGGGGGUUCUUUUUAUCCAGUUUUCAGUUUUCUCUCCGGGGUAAUUUUUCCAAAAAUAGUUGUAACCUGGUUGUGUUUGUGGGAGGAGAUCUGCUUACAAUGCCAUCUUGACGAGAUCUCUACUAAAGAUAGUGUUUUAUCAAGUGUAUUUUAAAUGUGAGAAUCGGGAUUUUAGUUAUCAGAAAUGACUGCCAUUAAAGUACGUCAUAUUCAUCCAAAGUUUUCUUGAUUAUUUACUGAAGCACAUUAUUUUAAUCAUUCCCUUUGAAUCACUUUUAC